ACUUGUCGCGGAGCCAUGAGCGUGUGGGCUGCCGUGACACCAGACAAACACUCUGCCACGGGAACAUCGUGGCAUUUCAGGGCGUU
rnacentral:sRNA from 16 species